rnacentral:rRNA from 1 species
AGCGUAGACGGAUGGACAAGUCUGAUGUGAAAGGCUGGGGCUCAACCCCGGGACUGCAUUGGAAACUGCCCGUCUUGAGUGCCGGAGAGGUAAGCGGAAUUCCUAGUGUAGCGGUGAAAUGCGUAGAUAUUAGGAGGAACACCGGUGGCGAAGGCGGGUCUCUGGGCCGUUACUGACGCUGAGGAGCGAAAGCAUGGGGAGCGAACA